CAGCAGCCGCGGUAAUACGCAGGGUGCGAGCGUUAAUCGGAAUUACUGGGCGUAAAGCGUGCGCAGGCGGUGCUGUAAGACAGGCGUGAAAUCCCCGGGCUUAACCUGGGAAUGGCGCUUGUGACUGCAGUGCUGGAGUGUGGCAGAGGGGGAUGGAAUUCCGCGUGUAGCAGUGAAAUGCGUAGAUAUGCGGAGGAACACCGAUGGCGAAGGCAAUCCCCUGGGCCUGCACUGACGCUCAUGCACGAAAGCGUGGGGAGCAAACAGGAUUAGAUACCCUGGUAGUCCACGCCCUAAACGAUGUCAACUGGUUGUUGGGUCUUUUCUGACUCAGUAACGAAGCUAACGCGUGAAGUUGACCGCCUGGGGAGUACGGUCGCAAGGUUGAAACUCAAAGGAAUUGACGG
rnacentral:rRNA from 1 species